GCGUGCCCUCGACGUUUGGGUGUUCACUACAGGUGCACCGAUGGUUCCACCAACAGACAGCGUGCCCUCGACGUUUGGGUGUUCACUACAGGUGCACCGAUGGUUCCACCAACAGACAGUGUGCCCUCGACAUUUGGGUGUUCACUACAGGUGCACCGAUGGUUCCACCAACAGACAGUGGGCCCUCGACAUUUGCGUGUUCACUACAGGUGCACCGAUGGUUCCACCAACAGACAGUGUGCCCUCGACAUUUGGGUGUUCACUACAGGUGCACUGAUGGUUCCACCAACAGACAGCGUGCCCUCCAAGUUUGAGUGUUCACUACAUGUACACUGAUUGUUGUACCAACAGACAGCAUGCCCUCAGAGUCUUCCAAUCCCCUGCCUCAAAAAAUCCUCACUUUGCCUUGCUCCAAUUCUGGCUGUCACUGGAGUUCUCACCCAAUUGUAUGCCAUUAUUUUUACCCAACAGUAAUCAAAUACCCAUGUGGAAACAGUGGUCUUAAACAAAACUCCCAUCCUCAGUCAAUUCUGGUCCUACUCCCUUCCUCUGAGACCCUGCUAAGG